GGGCGGGUGCUACCUGCAGUCGAACGAUGAUGCCCAGCUUGCUGGGCGGAUUAGUGGCGAACGGGUGAGUAAUACGUGAGUAACCUGCCCUUGACUCUGGGAUAAGCCUGGGAAACUGGGUCUAAUACUGGAUACUACCUCUUACCGCAUGGUGGGUGGUGGAAAGGGUUUUACUGGUUUUGGAUGGGCUCACGGCCUAUCAGCUUGUUGGUGGGGUAAUGGCUCACCAAGGCGACGACGGGUAGCCGGCCUGAGAGGGUGACCGGCCACACUGGGACUGAGACACGGCCCAGACUCCUACGGGAGGCAGCAGUGGGGAAUAUUGCACAAUGGGCGGAAGCCUGAUGCAGCGACGCCGCGUGAGGGAUGACGGCCUUCGGGUUGUAAACCUCUUUCAGUAGGGAAGAAGCGAGAGUGACGGUACCUGCAGAAGAAGCGCCGGCUAACUACGUGCCAGCAGCCGCGGUAAUACGUAGGGCGCAAGCGUUGUCCGGAAUUAUUGGGCGUAAAGAGCUCGUAGGCGGUUUGUCGCGUCUGCUGUGAAAGCCCGGGGCUCAACCCCGGGUCUGCAGUGGGUACGGGCAGACUAGAGUGCAGUAGGGGAGACUGGAAUUCCUGGUGUAGCGGUGAAAUGCGCAGAUAUCAGGAGGAACACCGAUGGCGAAGGCAGGUCUCUGGGCUGUUACUGACGCUGAGGAGCGAAAGCAUGGGGAGCGAACAGGAUUAGAUACCCUGGUAGUCCAUGCCGUAAACGUUGGGCACUAGGUGUGGGGGACAUUCCACGUUUUCCGCGCCGUAGCUAACGCAUUAAGUGCCCCGCCUGGGGAGUACGGCCGCAAGGCUAAAACUCAAAGGAAUUGACGGGGGCCCGCACAAGCGGCGGAGCAUGCGGAUUAAUUCGAUGCAACGCGAAGAACCUUACCAAGGCUUGACAUUCACCGGACCGCCCCAGAGAUGGGGUUUCCCUUCGGGGCUGGUGGACAGGUGGUGCAUGGUUGUCCUCAGCUCGGGUCGGGAAAUGUUGGGUUAAGUCCCGCAACGAGCGCAACCCUCGUUCAUGUUGCCCAACCUGAUGGUG
rnacentral:rRNA from 1 species